rnacentral:tRNA from 1 species
GGCCACUUAGCUCAGUUGGCUAGAGCAUUCGGUUUACAUCCGAAGGGUCGCUGGUUCGAGUCCAGCAGUGGCCA